ACACUGCGAGAAAUAGAGGCAGUGUUAACGAAAUGGAUGAGUGUUACAAGGAAAUGCAUAUAAAUGCUCACAUGCUUCUAAAGCUAACAGUUUAGGGCUAGCAAAAAAUGUAAAUAUAUUUUAUGAUAUGUAAAUGAUAUAUAUUUUAUUAAAAGGUACACAUAUUGAUAUAUUGAAAUAAGAAAAAUACUAUUAAUUGGUAUGUUCUUCUAUCUUUGCUUAACAAAGAAUUGACCCCACUCAUCGCUGCAGUGUGACAUUGGCUGAGGUGGUCAUCGUUCUUCUGAAGGGAAUGGGGAUGGGGAUGGGAAUGGGAAUGGGGAUUGGGAAUGGGGAUGAGGAUGUGACGACCUCUUCCGAGUUACGUUUGUGCAUUAUUUUUGGUUUCAUGGACGGCGUUUAUUAUGUUCUUGGCUGGCCGACGGACAGUUACGAGCUUUAGUAGUAUUCAUAAUGUGGUUGUUGUGGCUUUUCGUCUUCCUCGUCGUCGUCUUGUUACGUAUUUAUCAAUAUUUGCCCUCUGCAUUUGGUUUUCUGGCUCGUUGGCGUCUCGUGGCUAAUAGAAAAUCGAUGCUGGCACAUUGUUGCACAUUUGGCUGAAGUAUCUCAAAGAUACUGCGAAAGUAUCUCUAUCGCGCCGCUUUGCACUGCUCUCUUUUCAACUGUUUUCCGUUGUAUUUUUUGAAGUCGAUGUCAGUCAAUGAUGUUUGCUCUUAGUCUUUCGAUCAAUUUCCACUGCCUAAAAGCUGUCUAAAGGGGGUGUUAAGUCGCACUUGAAUGGCAUUUCCAUAGCCUGCCACAUGCCUCUGAUUUUCCAUGGGACCAUUUUCCCGUUUUCCCGUUUUUCCAUUUGCCAUGCUCCUCGUCUCCGGACGACACUUCAAUCUGCAUGCUCCACAUUUAUGUGGCGCUGCGUUUUUGGCUCGACUUUCUUUGAUUUCUUUCGUCCUUUUGGUCCUUUUGGCCCGCACUUCACCCAGUUCGUCCUGCGUCCUGCGUCCUCGCAAAUAUUUAAUUUAAGCUUGCUGUCAUCCUCGCCGAAGGGUAUCAACAUUUCCUGUCGCCUCUCGUCAUGCAGUAAAGUGUCAAUGAUUUGAGUUAUUUUUUUUUUUAAGAAGAAACACAAAUGAAUAAUGUGCUUUUCAUGAGCUGAAUAUUCAUUUACGAAUAUUCUUCGAAACAAUGGGUAUUAUUAUUUUCAAAGUACUACUUCUGUAGUUUUUUGUUAGGAAAGUGCCAAGUUAGGGAGUCCCAACUGCGCCUUGUGGAAUCCUUUCACUUUGACCAUCUUUCGAGUAGAUACGAACUGCAGCUGUAGUUGCAGUUGCUUUUAUCCCUGGUAACUGGAUCCUUUUUGCGCCCAAGUCCGUUUAUUUCUGUUGCUCUGCCCCACUUGCGGUUUUGUUUAAUUACGCAUAUUACUCCGCCUUUCGCCGCCAGUGUCAUCGCUGCCCAUCGCAUGGCAUCCUUCCGUUGCAUUCGCCGUCCCAGAAACCGACACAUCGCCAUAUUCCCAGUGCCCCCCAGUUGCUGUUUCUGUUGCUGCGGUCACUUACUGACUGGGACGAGUGUCUUUGCUCGGAUCUCUUGAGGCUUGUCAACGGCAGGGUGAAUUUCCGGAGGCGCCUCGGGUCGCUGGAUGGGGUGGAUUGGAGUGGAGUGGAGUUGUUUUGCGGUUGCCUUGGGCACUUCCGUCUCCGGGCACUUCGGUGAGGAGGGAUUGAGUUUCGGAUUGUCAAGUGACCAACUGGCUCGAUGUGACCAACAACUGACUAUGAGGAUGACCGAGCUGGCAGGCAGUCGGUGCCAAAUCGGGCUGGUUAAUUACUUUGCUAAGUGCUGUUCAUGCUGUACGCCCAUCUCGCGCAGAAAGCCCUUCUGUCAUCUCGAAUUUAUCAUAUUUACCCAGUAAAUUCCACAAAUUAAAAUCAAUACGCAGCCUGCAGCGAGGGGCAAUCAUUAAUUAUGCAAGCCGGCCGAUGCUGCUGCUAAUGAGGUAAAGUGUCGACAGCAACGCCCCCAGUGGAAAAUGUGUCCCAUUACUUUCGACCGGCACUGUGCGCCACCCUCGGCGGUUGGGUGGGUGUGCGCUUCUAAUUGAGGGAAAGGUCAGCGUCGCAUCGAUUGUAGUGCAAAGUGAACCGUAAACCGAGCCGUGGACACUAGACCUACUUUAGAUAAAUGCCGGUGAAUUUAUAACAAUUAUCUAAUUUCGCGGCCUGGCAUAUUUAUUUAUUGCCACUGUCUCGAGGGCUAAGUUAAAAUUGAACUAUAUGCGCCGUUGUAAAAUCGCAUAAAUUGGAAUACAGAAUCCAUGCAACUUAUGUAUAUAAACUCGCUUAAAGUGCCGUGCCACUUUACAACUUGAAUAUUUCCGAAAAAUCUGAGCUAUGGAAAGUCGCAUGGAAAUCACUCGCCAUCCAAUGUGCAGUCUGAAGGGGGGCGAGGGGCUGGGGCACCGCGGGGUGUUAGUUGUAGGCGUAGAUACAUGCCCACGCAUGGUUCGUUGCUGGCGAUUCAAUUUAGUUUGCCACUUAACCCCAGAGUGCCCCACGCGGCGGUUUGGGCCGCCACCUUUAACUCUCGCGCUGCCCGGAGGGCGGUGCCACUGCAUCGCAUGAUAAAUUGCCACUUGACUUUGCAUAUUUGCGCUGUCAACGGGUCGUGAAAAGGGUGAUGACUGUGAUGGAGUUUGGGGAGGCAAAGGGGAAGGACAGGAAAAAAAAUUUAGCUCCUCUUUGAUAUCUUUUUAAUAUUAAAUCUAAAAGGAAUACCUAUUUAUAACGUGCUUCACUGUAAGCUAAUGCCUCUUUUCUCAACAUUAAAUUAUUUUUAAAAUGUUAAAUAGUCUGAUCAAAAGUUAUAACUUUAAGUAACUAAAAUAGACGUUCGAUGUUGGCAUCAUACCCAUUUAUUACAGCUCUAUAAAGGAGCUUGAAGUAGCCCCAGUUUUUUCCAGUGCCACCCCUCCAUCAACGGCAGCCACAAAACGGUCUCAACUCACUUGCUUUCACUUCAUUGUUAUCUAUUGAAUUUGUACAACUUUUGCCCGGCAUCCGAACUUUGACUUGUGCUAAAGUUUUCCGAAUUUCAUUUUCCGUGAGUGUGUGUGUAGGUGCUUGGUUGGGCGAUACAAACUCAUCAGCCUUGACACCAUUUAAGUUUUUGGGUAGCCCAGCGGGAAGUCGAACGAGAACCCAACUGGCCAUUGUUGUGUGGCUCGUGGAUCGGGUGUUCCAUUUAACUGACACUGCCAAAAGUGUCCUGUCAUUCCGCCCAGCUUUUCCACCCACUGCCACGUGACGUAUCCCAUUUUGCUAUCCUUUUUCGCCUUCACUUUGCAUGCAUGAUUUUGGCCGUCUACUUUUUUGUGUCACUGUCUGUAAGCCAUAAGUUUUCGUUUUGUUAUUAUUUUUUAAAAAUCCGACAAGCACUCCACGUAGAGUGGCUGUCAGGUGGUGUCGAGUCCUGCAUUUCAGUGUGCCACUGACAUCACGUUUUCCCCCCAUUUUCCGCAUGUACAUAUGUAUAUACGUGAAUAUAUCUCUUUUCUUUAUUUUUUUUUUAUCGCGAAUAGCGGCGUGAAUAAUUACAAUGGCCAGUUAGCCCCGGGUUCACAAACCGAACUCAAUUUGUUAACACCCGAAAUGUGUUGGAUCCGAUUCAAAGUUGGUGUUUUUUCCAAAUGGCUUCCAAAGGGCGGUAAAUUGAAGUUAAUUGGUAUUCAAAUUGCAACGUUUGGCAUUUUUGUGCUCUUAAAAAAGUGUUUUUCUUGUUAUAAAUACAAAUAGAAAAAUAAUAAAAUAGGUUUGCAUUUAAAUCUGCGUACUUAUUAUCUUUGUUUUCCAGCUUGUUUUAUGUGACAAAAGCUAUAAAUGUCGAGAGCUUGCCAUACAUUACUCGAAAUCUAUUUAGUUUUGGAGUGGUAAAAAGCCGACUAAGAUAAGUGCUCUUUUGUGGUUCUACCUUUGGUGGAAAAUAACUGCUCUGCAGUUAAAAAAUAUCACUUAAAAUACCAGGGUAACCGCUCAAAUUGGUGCAGACGAUCAUUAUUCAGCCGACUGUGGAAAACUGGGGCUGACAAAUUCGAGUGCAUCAUAGCGGGAAAUUCCAACAAAUUGCUGUGGCAAUUACAACGCACCGAGUCAAAUGUCCAGAAAUCAUUGCACUUGUCCACGGGAAAAAUGUCACAAUGGCAAUGGAAUGGAAUGGGAGAUAAAUGUACAACAUUUGUUGGGCAUUCAAUUUGGAUCGCGUCUCGCUGCUUUGUUUAUGAUUUAAUCAAUUGCUCAUUAAUUAAAUGCCAUUGUGCGCGGCGUGCCUCUUUUUCGCUUCUCAGCCAACCGCAAGAUGGGCGACGAUGAUGAUGUUUCAAUUUAUCAUCAAUUAACCUCUGACCCCCGCCGGCAAAGUUAAACAAUAGAUGUGGUAUGAAUGGCAGUCAGUCAAGCUGGAAAAACGGUGGAAAAACAUUGGGAGCAGUGGGAAACCAUUUAGUGCAGAUAGUGUGCAAUUGGGGACGUGGUCCACUGCGAUAUCAUUUAAUUAAAUUGUUAAAGGAUAUGGGCUUAUAUCUACCAUAAAGCACACAUCGCCGAUUUACAAGCGAAUUUAAUUGAUGUUUAUGCAUUGCCCCCAUUGAAUGAAAAUGCCCAAACACAAUCGCCAUCGAUUCGAUGUACAUUGGGUGCAAAAAAAUCGGCAAUAUUGGCAAAAAAUCGUUCGUAAUAAUCGAUUUGUGUGUGUUUUCAAUCAAUGCAAAUAAAUAAACAGCAAAAUCGCCUGCAAGGGCAUUCCACACAUGCACUCGCCGGGGAAUCCGGAAUUUAAUCGCUGUUUUAUGGCACUCCGUCCGACAUUGGUUUUUAUCAAUAAGUUGCAUUUAUUUCUUUUUAUAUGCCAACUACCUUAGUACGGAUUUAUUUAUGCAACGUUGGAAAUAUUUAAAUACCAAUGCCACUGGAAAAGCCGUAAACAAAUUGCUAAAUGAACACUCAAUACAUCUAAAACGAAUGCAUUGCGGCCAGCGUAGAACAACACAAUUUGUGUUGUGGCUGAGUGUUCCAUUUGUUUUAGGACUUAAAACUUGUGUUCAAUUUAAUUAAAUCACAAUUAAUAUUUUAAAAAUAGAAGCUAGCUAAAGCCGUUGGUGGCACCGUGCAAAUACCUUCACAAGUAUAGCUCACCAAACUGUUUUCAGCGGCAGUUUCCACUUUGCAUUUUCCGCCGGCGGCAGGAAAAAAGGCAUUUUAAACUCUGUGGCCAAUUUAUGUGGCGGCUGCGAAUCGCCAUGAAUACAAAAAGCACACAGGCUGCACUUAUGUGUAUGCAUAUGUGAUAAAAGGCAGAGCGACUCAUAAAAAAUGCAACACAUAAUGCCGCAUGACCCGACCGCGGCACGCCCACAUCCAUAUAUAUAUAUAUAUAUACAUAUAUAUCCCCAUGCCCUCGGAAAAAAAAGUGAAUGAAAUAAAUGCGCGUAUUGUCUGACAACAAGGAGCAAAAAAGAUUGUAUAUCCAACCAAGGAAAUAAAGCUCAAGGGAGGAUGAACAGCAACAGUAAGAGCCACGGCAACAGCAACUGAUGAAGAAAAACUCCUAGCCGACCGACAGUUAUUAUAGCCAAGUCUGCCAGUCAAGUGUGUGUGUGUGUGUGUGUGUUGGUCUGUGUGUGUGAGUGGGUGGAUUUGGGGUGGCUUAGUGGGUGGUGGCGCUGUGUGAUGCUAACCUAGUUUAUGACAGAGUUUAAAUUAUCCCUUUGUUUUUGCUACUCUGUUUUUUUCCGCUCCACAAACAAAGCCAAAACGCUCGACUUCGAGCCUCGCCAACCGACCAGAAACCAGAAACGAAAAAAAAAACACAGCAAGUGUGUGUAAGCGCUUUUCUUUUGCAUGUGUGUGCGUUAAUGGCGUUUCCACCAUCAAGAAAUUGCAUAUUAAUCAACUGAAUGCAGGCAGAGUACGCUAAAUAAUGAAAGAGUUUCAAGGGUAAAGUUACAUGUCUACCUAUUAGAUAAUUAUCGUUUAUUUAAGAAAAUAAACUUGUUUCUUGGGAUGUAUGGAUAUAUAUUAUGUAUACUUAUAUAUAUUCAUUUAAAUAUUUUAAUAUAUUCAUUUAAAUUUUUAGCAAGAAAUUUUUAAGUCAUUCCCCUUUUCCGUACGUAAAUCUAAAAUAAAACUUCAAGGCACUUAAGACUUAUGAUUUGAAUUUACAUCGUCAGCAUAUACCCCAACCAGUAAGGGGUAGCAUUGCUCAUGGAGAAAAACGUUAUGUACCUUUAAUGACACACCGAAUCGUGUGGCGCAUUUGCGGCUUCUGAGUGUGACCAAGUCAGCGUAUGAGUGCGAUUGUGUCUGCUUCGGUGGGCGGAUUCUGUAAUGGUGUCUUUAACGAAGGCCAAAAAGGGAUUUUGCCACUGUGCCCUCCCAGCUGUGCUAGUAGUUUUUCUCUGCCAUAUGACAGGUCUUUAUGGCCACGCAAUAAACACAAAUUGCCUGUCAUAUGUGCGCUUUUGCGUAACGAGCUGGGCAAGUCAGGAAGCUUACAAAUUUGUGCCGCAACAAGAGCCUCCACUGCCACUUCCACUUCCACAUCCACAACGCAAAGCGGUCAGCGGGCCUAUGUGGCCACGAGACAUCCCAUAAAUCUACUGCCCUCCCGGGAGUGUUGGCCACAGGAGCAGUGGAGCAGAGCGGUCACUACCACGCCAUUCGCACCACUGACAAUUGAAUUUAUCGGGCCGAAGUCCAUCAAUCAGUAAAUGCGAAGCCGCCUCAGCCGCCAUGCCCAUCUGUACCGCAGUCUUGUAAUGACAGACCCGUAAGAAGUUCGCCCUCGUCCGUUUCAUAUUGCAACUGCAACGCGGAGUGAGUUAAGUUGCAUGCCUGGGCACUUGAAUAAAUACAGCUAUUUAUUGGCUAGUAUCUGUUUGCUUUCUAACCAGAGUAUUCCUAACCAUUAUUCGUGUUAUUAUUUAACUGGCAUAUUUGCUAUAUUAAACAUAAACAUUGAGCUAAUUUGAAAUUUAAAUUUAAUGAGGUGCGCAAAACAACUGAAAAUGUGCGUAAUGAUCGACCUGCAUAUAUUAACCCUUGCAUAAACGACCAAUCCUUGUGACUUUAAUAAUAAAUUAGGAACUUAGGGCGCAGGAAAGCACACAAGAUUUCCAUCCAAUUAGGAAAGCAUUGGGAGAAAGUAAAUCCAUUGUGCGUAAGGGGAUAAUGGAUAUGCAGUGAAAACUGAGGCUAAAUUAUGGCCAAGAGGGGAGCACUUUAAGGCACACGCUCGUUAAGAAGGAACCACAAUAUUAUGUAUUGCACCUUCGCUCGUAACAGCAGCACAAGUUUGUGGCUUCGUUAUGCCGAAUGAGGCAUAGGGAUAAACUCGAUGGAAGUCCUUGAGGAGUGGCCAUCAUAACUGGCGGCGAUGCACUUGUUUGCUGCCAGCAAAGUUGUGGGUCGGGCAUUAAAUGUUUAAUGAAUUGCAUUAGCCGGCGAGUGGACCGAAGUUUAGUCUAAUUAAAUGUGGUGCCCAACUUUGGCAACUCGACUCGAGAGUUGAGAGUCGAGUGCCACGCCCCACUCCGGCAAUUUGUCACUCCUAAUGACUUGUCAGCGGGCGCCUGGGCGAACAUGUUGCUAUUGCUGCUGCACUGGCUCCUCCGGGCUACUCCUGGAUCCCUCUAGCUGCUCCUGGCUCCUCUUUGCUCACGGAAAGCUCCUUCAUCGACUUGAGAACGUAAUGUAAUUGAAAAGUUUCCGGUGCACCCAAAGAGUUGGGCAUUCGAGGGGCGCUUGGCGCUUGGCGCUUGGAUGUUCUGCAGUUUGGCCAGCUGACUUGGGCCAUCGUGUCGUCAAUGCAGCGCAAAUGGAGCGUGGCCAUGCCAUGAAACAACAGCACGUCCUGGCCAAAUUCAAUUUGUCAGAAAGAUGCUGUCACGGAGGAAAUACUGAAUGCUCGCUUAAUUCCUUCGCCUGGCUGAAAACAACGCCAACGCUGCCAGCGGCAAAAUAUCAUUUGUUAGUUGCACGUGAACGGUUAAUAAAUGCCAUGACAAAUGCAUCGAAGUCUGGCGGAGUGCGUGCUGCAAUUACGUGGAGUCCUCGUCGUUCCGCACUUUUUGCGGUUCUGCCAUCCUUAUGACUCAUUGUUGCCAGCCAGUGUGUUUACAUGGCGUAUGAGCAACGGAAAUGAGCGGAGAAGUUUCGUAUGAAGCCGUCGAAGAAAUGAGGCAGCAAUUAGACAGACUAAAGUGCAAGAUAUUCAGUAAAUGCUGAGAAACAGAACUAUUCAGAAGGGUUAGCUUCGCUUUAGUUCAUUUAAUUGCUACGUUAAUUGCUUUCUACAAUUGGUAACAUAUUAAAGUUAUAAGUAGUAGGCCCUAAAAAUGUAUAUCUUCUUAUAUCUACCAUCCUUUAUAAGAUUAAUAAAAUUUGUUUUUUGAAAGUGCAAAGACACACACCCACACGAUAUCCCGCCAGUCAGAGAUGCACUCGAUUUAUAUGCCACUUGGCAGGUCCUUGCCUUAAUAGCAGCUCGAGAAAGUAAAUCGGAUUUUGAUGGCUACACGUCGCCAGUUUGCCAGCUUGCCAGCUCGCACCACUAAAGAUCAAUUUCGCUGCAAUUUAAAAAUGCAUUUAACUCCGCCGCCCGCGGAACCCAAGGACCCAAGAAGGGACUUGAAGGACCUCAAAUUCCCACCCAUUUCGGGCUCAUAAAACUAUUGAGGCGUCCCAGGAGAAGAGCUCAAGUGAGUUACGUUACGCAGCAGCCCAAAACGAGCUGGGGAAAAAACCUUUCAAACUUCUUAUGACUUUUGCGAGAAGCAGAAAAAACUUUCGCUGCUGAAUAACAAUAAGCUGUGAAAUGGGAAAGCGCUUCAGUCUGGCCUGGCAAGUUCCAGGAGUGUUAGGUGGCAGCAGGAGCAGGAGUAGGAGCAGGAACAGGAGCAGGAGCAGGAACAGGAACAGGAGCAGGAGCAGAAGUCCUGGUAAAUGGCUUGGCAGAUAAGAGCAGGUAGCUCUCCAAAUGGCAAUGUGCUUAUCUGGCCAGCUCCACACGCUCACACACAUUCGCAAUGCGGGCCAAAAUCGGAUGGGGGUUAUAAGGGUUAUUAUUCAGGAAGUGGGCGAAGGAGCCAACCCGGUUGAGUUGGCCAUUAGUUAUAUUUUUCACGCAGGAAGACGUAUUUUGAAUUAUAACCAGAGAUUGUCAUUUUUCUGCUAAUCUGCGAGAGUGUUAAGUGGGUAGAAAAGGCGAUGUGGGAUUAACUUGUGGGAAAUGAUAUCAAGCGUCAAGAAAGUAGUCACAAGUUUAUACUGUAUGUUAUAUACAGUUACUUAAAAUACUUAAUUGGUUAAAAGCGUAAUGUUAAUAUGUAAAUUAUUUAAUUGAACAGAAUUCUUCGAAAAUAUUUCGGCAUUUUAAAUUGAAUUAAAAGCAAUAGCCGUACGAGUAAAUGUGGCAAAGUUCUUCAAUUAAGCUCUUAACUCUCAUUAAAUUGGUAAAAAUGUCUGCAUAAUUGGCACUUGCUGAAUUGUUUAUUCUGCAUCGACACUCCUAAAAUCGAUGAAUUUCACGAGAAAAUUCCUCAAUGAUUUCCGCAUGCAAAUCGUGUUGGUCAAGGUUGAUUGUGCCAUUUCCAAAGAGCUUCUGGCUUUCGCAUUAUGGCAAUGCUCGUAAUUAGACAUCUGCAAACUGAACAGGAGAGCUGCAGAAAAAGAAGGAGCCGGCAAAUGAAAUUUACAUUUCACUCUAAUCCUUUGGCCCGCCUGUCAUUCGCACUCACAGCAUGGCCAAAUGGCCGACGAAUGGCCAGGAUGGCCAGGAUAGCCAGGUCUAAGGACCAAGGACCAAGAACCUGGGAUUUCGCCUUGGCAUUGCAUUCAUUCGUUUGUUCGCUUGUGCGCUGUACAUUUUCAUUUUCAACACAAAGUUUUGUUUUAUUACCCCGAGGACACGAACAAGACUUUGUAACUUACAAGCCAAAUAACAAGUUGGCCCGACCGCCCGGAGGAAAGAAAAGCAGGCAGGAGUUGCUUCGCCGUUGCUCCACUGAUAGUUCGUUGCCUUCGUUGUUGUGCUCUGCGCAAAGUCCAUAAGUCCAUCUUGGCCCAGUUUGCAUCGUAACUUUGUAAUGAGACUGCGCUGCGUGUCCCGAACCAUCUCAGUCCAGGCAAGUCCACAGAAUCAAUCAUACUUGAGGCCCCUGCUUUCGAAAUCAAGCAUCAGGCACAUCAAGAUAUGCAAUUAGUGGCAUUAUGUUUGAAACUUGAAUGCACGGCCAACUCCCACGCCUCACUUAAUCUUGGCCAUUAUGCAAACUGUGUGUGCUUGCCAUUGGUCUAAUGAACGGGCUACUUAACAUGGGCGUCCCACUUGGGGGCUAGAAAUCCACUCGAGGCGCCCAAGGAGCAGGUUCUGAUCUGUUAAUGGAUUCCCCGCCUGCGGAAGGUCAACUGUUGGCCACUGAGACCGGUGUCGGAAAGUCGAGUUCAUCUCGGUGCCUAAGUACACGGUGCAAAAGUAGGAAAGCAUACAAUGUAUAUAUAUAUAUUAGGAAAUCUAUUUAUCCUAUAUAAAAUAUUUAUAUUUAGAGAACUGUAGGCAAAUACUUACCUUUCUAUGAUUUAUUCCACAAAGUAAUACCAAAUACAUUUUUGUAGUGUCAAAUCAAUAAAACCAAUAAUGUUUAAUUAAACUUAGUGGAACUGGUGCUCCGGUAGACUGGUUUUCAGUGAGUAAUGUGAAAUAAUCACCCAAUUUAUAUAUGACUACAAUUUCCCCUAUUCCGCAAAGCUGCCAUUCUGUAAUGCUCAUCUAUUCAAGAUCGGAAAUUCAAUCAUUUGCACCUUGUUGCCGCAGCAACAAAAACCUUCGGCAAACUGUUGCCAUUCUCCACAAAAAGAUGCUGCCAUAAGCGGAUGCAAAGGACAUUUGGAAGCCUGUUCAAUCAAUAAGCGACUCUCCACAGGACAGCAAAUGUGUCGAGCAGGACUACCUUUUUGAGUUUUCCGAGAAAUGGGGGCUCUGAUGAAGGCCCAUCGACGAGUGAUGUGCUCCAUGGGCUGGCUGGUGAUUGAAGUUGCACAAUGGCGGAGCAGUCAGUCACCGGCUAUUAGACGGCCUUCUGCCAUGUCCUGUAUGUGCUGUAUGUCCUGGAUGUCCUGCACAUUCUUCGCUACUCACAGCACAAUUGGUGCGGGUCCUUUGCUUAGGCGAGCGCAUUGUUUGCCCGCUCAGAGGGUGACAACUCACUGAAAUUCACCCGGUGGACAGUGUCAGUGCGGAGUCCUUGCAAUCUGGACACCAUCUCCUGGUCCUUUUUUGUGACGCCGGGCAUGCAGAUGUCGCCUGCUUAAUGCCGUGUGCUUUGUAAGCCUGCAACAGUGCCCAGUGCCUUGGUGACGCAGUUGGUUGCCAAAAAGAAGCAAUCUUGCGUAAAGCGAACGGAGGAGAACGAGAGCACUUAAAGCUCUGUCCCCUGUCCCUUCAUCCGCUUUAAGGGACGACCAUUGCCCCAGUCCAUUGUCUAUGCAUGCAAUUUUCACUUUGCCCGAAUGCGUGUGCCCGCCGUGAAAUAUGCACACGCUUAAAUUGUUAAUCAUACGCAGCGUGGACCGUCGCAGUUUCCUGUCGCGCUCAACCAAUUCCGCUGAGAGCCGCUUGCGCGUCCUGCUGUGAGGUCAGCACUCAAAGAAAUUAUGGCAGCGAACAAAAAGCGUAAUUCUUUCUUUAUUUAUGUGACAAAAACGUAUAUUGCGAAAAUGCAAUUGCUGAAUUUAAACUGCUUGCAGUGGCACAUUUAAGAAAUUGCGCUAUUUUGCAUGACUCUUUAAUUUAGUUUCAGUCAAUAUCAACGCUUGAAGCUAGGGAACAUUUUAAAAACCAUCUAAAGAUCCUUUUGAAAGCUAUAUUCAAUUGCUAAAUUCCAGCUAACUUCGAGCCCCAUAAUGGCUGUAAUCUCGUCCAAUUAUUCGCAUUUUGUGAGCAGCAUUUGGGCCGCUUUGAUGUUUCAGCAAGUUAUCGAGGCAACUUUCGUCCUGCGGCUAAUGAGCUGCCUUGGGGCAACUUGAUCGCCGCCCUGUGGCGGUGCGAUGUCAAAGCCUAAUGCCAUUGCCAUGCCUGAUUACAGUAAUUACUGGCCAAAGUGGCCCGUCAGAGUUCACUGCACCGCAGAUUGAGCGCUGUGUUAGCUCAUGGUUGUCUAGACGCGAACAAUGACAACCUAAAUUAAUUGCCAAGUAUACUCGUAUACUCGUAUGACAGGACAAAGGAGGUUCCAUAUACUUUUGAUUGGCGAAUUGAUCGCUUGCGUUUGGUCAUUGCACCCAGUUAACAUGUUAUCAUCAGAGUUUGCAAUAGCAUUGUGAUGGUAUUGAAAACUAAUUAUGGUUGCCCCCCCUUAAAGCUGGUAAUCCUCUUAUGCGCUCCGCAGUAUUAAUUAAUUCAGCUCGAAAAUACCCCCUGGGUGGAGAAGUGGCUACAUUAAUAAUGCUAAAACAGUUGUCAUGUUGUGACAUUUUCGCUGCCUUCGAGGCCCCGGGAAGACAUCACCGGAGUGACCAAAUAAUGUGAUUUUAUCGUGCAAUUGUAGACAAGAUGCAUUGACUAAUUAUUGGUCAAUUACUACAUAAUACAUUAGCACUUAUGUUUGCCAGCUGGCUUGUAUAUACAUAAGUUCGAUAUGGAAACCAUAUCAAUUUCACACUCUAUUAUGCAAAAAUAACACAAACAGCAGCGCAUUAUCGAAUGCAAGUGUUUAUCUAUGCUGAUUUGCUGUGAGCCAACAAUGGGAAUCGGGAUUACACUUAAGUGGGAUUUCUAAGCGGAUUUGGCAGUAAAUACGUAGGUCUGAGAAUUCACUUUCAUUUGGUUUGAAAUAUUUGGAAAAUGAAUUGAAUAAAUUCUAAGAUUAUGACUUGAAUUUUACUAUAGACAUUAAUUACCCAUCCUUUUUUUGCAGUUUUCAUGGGUACUAGAAGACUCAUUACGCAAUCUCAUAUCAAAUUUUUUGUUCAAGCUAAUGUUAAUAAUUCAAGAGCUAAAAGCUUAAUUUUAUCCUAAGCCUUAUGAAAUUAAAGGAAAAAACUGUGUACGCCAUUUUUCGCUGUCAGUUAAGCGCUUUUCUUAACUUUGUGCGUUAACUUUUUUCCGCGGUCGUGUUUUUUGUGGCGAAUUUACACGCACAGGUGUGAAAUGUAAAUGCGCCAAAGUUGAGUUGCGUUGCGUUGAGUUGAGUUGAUGCGAGUUGAGACGACUGCCUGGCAUACCGAGCAGCACAUACACAUUUGGUUUUGGUUUUGGCCAUGGCGCGAACUUUAAUUACUUUGGCCAAAGUUAAAGGCGUGUGCAAGUUGCUCGUAUAACUUUUUAAUUAGUUGCCUGCCAUCGCAUUUGCCUUCGCAGCAAUCAACGCGUCAGCAAUCGGCACCAGCACGUCCUGCAGCCACUGAGUCUGCUGUUCUGGCUGCUCUGGGUGUACUGGGUGUUUUCAGGGGGUCAUGGGGUUAGGAGGUUAGUUGGUUUGGGGUCAGGGGUCACGGGGCGGUGCGGAACGUCUAAACGGCUGUCCUCCGCAGAACUUUGGUUUACAUGAUGUUAACAUGCAAGUGAAAGUGCAAUGCAAAUAAUAAUGAAGCCAUUUGAUGGCUGACAGCUGUGGCAUCUUCAAGUUGGUUGCAAAGUGCUAUAAACUACUUCAGUAAUAUAUUUUCUUUUAAAGAAGGAAGAAUUAAUCUUAUUGCAAUCGCAUAGCAUAUGCAAUUGCAUAUAGCAUUUUUACUACAACUUCAUAUCUACACUUAAUCUACUCCAAUAUGCAAUCAAGAAAUAAAAAACAGAUGAUAGUUUGAUGGAUUUUUCACUAUGUAAUCAAGAAAUAAGAAACAGAUGAUAAGUUGGAUUUUUCAAUAUGUAAUCAAAAAAUAAGAAAAAGGUGAUAGUUUGAUGGAUUUUUCAAUAUGUAAUCAAGAAAUAAGUAAAAGGUGAUAGUUUGAUGGAUUUUUCUUAUAAAAAUAUUCAUGAAGAAUGUUCCCUGCAUCCUGUUGAAACAGGAGACGGCCAUUCACCACUCACCUCUGCAUGAGCACAGGACCUCAUCUCGGCUGUCCCUCGGUGUCAAUAAAGCGAGGAGUUGGCUCAUCAGAGUGACAGUUGCAACAGCUUGAUGACAUUGUGGGCGCCGAUGGCGGCAAUAUGCCUGAUUUAUUUAUACGGGGCCGACACUGACGUAACCACAGCGUUAUGACCAGGCUCCUUAAUCAAGUGUGCGAUAUGCAUAGGAGCCCACUUGGCGCCCACUUCCUUGGCCUUAAUCAGAUGCGGUUAUGAUGGCCCACGGGCCUUGAUGUGCAAACUCACCGAAAGCCGGCUAAUUUGUAGCUGCUGUCUAUGUGCUGCAAUAUUAUUGGAUUACGAGCUGCAGGGGGCGUGGUUUGGGUGGUUUUGGGGGGGCGGCAAUGGGUGGGUGGGCGUGUCUGGAGUGAAUAUAAAUAAGCCUUAACUCGCUUACCAUCCGGAGCACGAGCCACGCAAUUGCGAAUGUUUUAUGCAAUUCGGCGUAAAACAAAUCACAUACGCAGCACACAUGAAAGCUCAAUGGAAAAGCAAUUGGAGGUUCCGGCGAAAUUACGACGGAGGUAAAUACACUUUGCAAAGGGAUUUAAAGGGCGUACAGUAAGACGUAGCUUAUAAACGACUUAAAAAGCUAAAAUACGAUCCAGAAUUACCGAAAAGGUGCCAAAUGAAAUGAAUUUAAUGCUAGAAGCUAAACUAUUUUAGAUAUAUUUGGAUAUAUAAAUCUAAGCAGCCCCAAGACAUACAUAGAAAACCAAUUUCUGUUUCAGCAUAUAGAUUCAAUGUGUAGGCAUUGAGAUGCCAAAAUGAGAAUAAGAGUAUCGCAAUGAUGGCCAACUUUAGUUUACGCAGCGAAUACUGAGCGAGUGCGUACGUGUGCAAGGGCUGGCUAGUCAAUCAAUCAGCCAUUCAAGCCAUUUAGUCAGUCAAUCAAUCAGAGCGCCGGCAUUGGACGUGAGCGUCAUUCUAAUCGAGAACCAUUUUUUAAUGCGCCCCUGGAAAUGUUUCAGAUGCACAGAGCCCUUUAAAUCAAACUUCAGACCAACUCUACUCCUAGUACUGCUACUAGUUAAACAGCAAUAAAAGUUCGGUGUAUAGAAAGCCCAGUUCAACUACACAUAAGUCAGAUAGCACUCAAGUUACUGUCUGUGCAGAUUAACCUUGUUUCCAUAAUUAUCCUUCGAUUGCUGAGGCAGCUGAAUUCUUCUGGGUGUCCAUAUCGGUCACAUUUGCCUGCUAAACGUAAACGGUAACUGCUCGGAUUAUGAAAUCUUCAUGUGCAAAUUAUGAAGCCAUUGGCAGGACCCCAAAAGCGCUGCAAAGUCAAAUCCUUGCCCCAAAACAGACUCCUGGCACUGGCUUCGAGCAUCUCCUGCUGCAUAUCCCUGCCUCAAAGUGCCCGGCAAACAUAUAAAAGUGUCCCACAAACGAGAUAUGCGAUAUGCACACUGCACAAGCCUCUGAAUUGUUCCUUUGAAAUAGAAAAAAAAUUGUGGAAAGCGCAUUAUAAGAUUAUCCACACAUGGCAAAUGAAAUGCCCUUGGUUGUUCUUGUUUAAGCAGUAGUUUAACCAAUUGGUAAAACAAAAACAAAAAACAUAAAUAUUAUUGUUGCGCUCUUAAGACCACAUGGUAACAAUAAAGACACUAGGAAGCUUGAGAUAUUUAUUAAGCCUUAUAAAAUACAAAAUUACACAAGUUAAAACCCUUUCUUUGUUCCCAUUUUCUUGAGUGCUUGGCUUCCGAAGAGAGGGUAUCUCUGGGUGCGAAAUAAGUUGGUUGUCAGCAGCAGAUCUGAGAUGGUGAAAGGCCACAGAGACCCGGAUUUGAAAUUGGGAUCGUAGGGGAGGGGAGGUAGCAAUUGAAAUGGCAUUAACAUUUAGCAAACGGCAAUGGCAUAAGAUAGCAAAAUGCCAGUGACGCAGCUGCACUUGGCUAAAAUCAAACAAUUUCGUUGAGCGUCUGCGAAAAUUGCACGUCGCACUGAAUGCCAUUCGGGGGGCUAGAAACUCAGUUUAAACUCGAGUUUUAGUUGCCAGCCGAGGGUAGUAUUCAGAAUGGAGAAUGGAGAGCUGGGUGCACGUUUCGAUUCGUUCCGUUGGAUUUCAUUUGAUUUGCCGCCUCAAUUGCGCACUUUUGUGCGGUCCAAGUCAAAUAGUCAAUGGCAGUGGCUGUGGCAGUGGCAUUGGCAGUGGCAAUAGCGAUGGCGAUGGCGAUGGCUCAAACAAUUCCUCUUUGGCCGGCGCACAAUCACUCGAAUAUUGAGUUUUAAUUUCCGGCACCUUUUUGCCAUGCUGCUGCUGCUAUGUCGACAUCUGCCGCCGCAGGAUAUUAAAAAUGAGUUGCAUUUUUGUGCCACCGCAUUAGCAGCCUUGCACUUGAUUUGCAUUUCGUUAGAGAGCGAUUUGACUCCUCAAGUAACACUAAUGAACUCAAAGAAACUCCAAGGCUUCCUGGAAUUUAUUCCAGUUUAUGUGCAGUAAACAACGGGUGCAUUGCAUUGCCUAGCCACAGAGUCUGCAGGUAAUGCCAAACUUCCGGACAAAGAGCCGCACUCCUGCCAUUUCGCAUGCCACUUCAUUAAAAGCGUGAAGGGCCAAAGGGGUGCCCGCUAUGUGCUACUACUCCCUACAUAUUUUACCCGGGGAUCCGGGGAACUGGGGUACCAGGGUACCAGGGUACCGGAAAGGGUUUGCAAAACCAUCAAGCCUGUGGCCAGGCCAACUGACCGAAAACCAUUAUUAAAGUCGAGCAGCUUAAAAAUAUGCAUGGCAGGGCGGCAACCACAGCACAAAAACAGAGCACAAUGGUUGCAGUUUUCGGGCGAACACUGCGUACACGUAACAUAUUGCUCUCCGGCCAUUUAAAUGUAUUUAUGCAAACAGCAGCCACAACAGCGGGGCGUUGACUGUCUGCAUGGAGGAGCAUAGAAGAGCAUAGUAGAGCCGACAACCCACUCAGCAAAUUGUCAAAAGCUGCUUACUGUUUUCCAUAUUGCAAGAGAGAGAGAGCAGUUGCUGAAUAGACAGUUGGAUUAACAGAAGCGAAUUUAGUAGAAAAGGACGUGUAUGGGACUUAGUUUAAAGUAAUUGUGUGUGCUAAGUGAGUGCAUUUAUUGGGAGUGUAAAGCAGGUUAUUAAGUUUGGACAUUAGGGAUUAAGUUUAUUGUUGCAUUUAAACUAUCAAUAAUACGCAUCGGGCUUAUAAUAAGGUAAAGCCUUUCAGAUGCAGAUAUCCCUGCCACAAGGAUGCCGUGCUACAGGACGAUGCAUAGAGGCAUAGAGGCAGGGCCAAUAAGCAGUAGCUGCUUAGUGAGCUCGAAAGUGUGCAACAGCUUGGAAAUAGUUGCCCACCGCAUACGCGGCGUAUGCGCAACGCUUUGUCAACUUGUUGUUGACAAUUCGUUGUCCUCGUCGUUGUUGUCGUUCCGUGGCUAAUGGCCUGUCCCUUUCUGCUUUCUCCUGUCUCUUUGCUACUUUCUCUCCCCCCCCAUUCCAUGGUCUCGUCCUGUGUUUUUCUCGACGUCACUUCAUUUCCGAGCCAUCGCCUGCAACAAAUGCUGCAAAUGAGCUGACAGAGGUUAUGAUAGUGCACAUACUGCCAUAACUUGGGUCAAACCAUCUAGUGACAGGGUACUGCUGGGUGCGGUUCCAUUGCCACGCCCUCCUCCUCCCCCCCCAUUAACUAUCAACCAUCAACCGUUCCGGGGUUCAAUUAAAGUGCCAGCCAUUAGUGCAAGGAGGGACAUUUACAUGAUGGCUUCGCGCCCGCUUAAUGGCUUAUGCGUCGCCUUAGCACUCACUUCAUUUUCAUUUUCAUUUUCAAUUCCAUUUCCGCUUCCGUUUGGCCCUGCAUUCUCAUUUAAUUACGCAAAAACGCUGUGCACACCUACAACUCGUGCAUUAUUAGACACUUUCCAUUCGCACAUUGUGUGCCCCAGACAAAGUUGAAGGAGCUACCCAUUCAUUUGCGCACAACAACGGAGCGAGAAAAUAUGCAGCGGCAUGUUGGCAAAAGUUACAAAAGUCAUACAUUGCCCCUGCUUGGCACACUGGCUUAUUACUAAUGGAAAACGAUAUCUAUAUAGUUGCAAAUUAAGAUUAAAUAAUGGAGUACAAGUUUCACACAUUAUUUAAAAAUAUGUAUAACAUUCUAUCUACCUUCACUUUACAUACUUUUUAAUGUAAUCUAAUUGCAUGUUUUUUAUUUCCACACCUCAUUUGUUUUUUAUUCUAUUAAACUUCACUUCAAAUACUUUUCCAUUUAAUCUAAUUGCAUCUCGUUUUUCCACUUCCACACCCCUGUGCAGUGGGCAACGCACUGUGCACUCCUUGUGUUAUUGUGCUGUUUAUGUUUUUUAAGCAUCUGAUAUAUUGGCAAAGUUUUGGCCAUGUCUCGAGUGCCAGAGCCCCGCCCAGCGAGCAAAUUAAGCAACUUUGUGAAGCAACUGUUCCAUGGUGACCACUCAGCCCGUCGCUAUUCCGGAGAACUCCACUUUGUCGCCGGAAUGGAAGGGCAGUAGUGUGUUGCCCGCUAAUUGCCUAAAAUAUUUAAACCCGUAAUGCCUCAACGUGCCACACGUAGUGUGUGUUGGCUAUUUUAAAUUUGAUUGUACAGGUAAAUAUUUGCCAAGCGAAAUGCCGCGGGAAAAGGGGCUAGAAAGCUGUUGUUGGUUGUGGUUUAUAUAGUUUUCAUGGUUUUCAUGGUUUUCAUGGUAUUCACGGUUUGUUUGUGCACACGGCUUUCGUUUUUAUUGCAUUUUGCCGGUCACAUUGCCAUUGGUAGUGCGCCAGCAUAGGCGGCACAAAGUGGCUUAGCAUUCGGUGGCAGUCCAUUUUUGCCAUUUGGCCAACAAAUGCGUUUUGGGCUCUAUCUCUGAGUUGCAGAGCAGCUAAACAAAAAAUCAAUAAAAUCAACAAGCAAAUAUUUUGUGCAUUUGCCCACACAGAAAGCAACUGAGCAACGAAUAUAAAAUAUGCAAAAACCAACGAGGCGGCGUAAAUGCGGUAGAUUUAUUUUUACUGAGGGCAACAAGCCGCAGCAUAAAGCACUGGCUCAGGUGCGGCUAUUCUGGCUAAAAAUAUAUUUUGAACAAAAGAAAUUUCCUGAAUGAAUUUCAUGCAUAAAAUCUGGUAGCCCACAUACGGAAAUCGGGGUUUACGUUGGAAUUUUACGCAUUCUUUUGAGCUAUUUUAGAGCCGUGCGUUUAAGACAAUGCCUAAUUCGUUAUAAUAUCAGCAUAGUAGUUUACAAGUUGAGUGUAUUCUAUUCUGCACUUCUUUUCGGUUUUGAAUGAGCUCUGCUUUAAGAGCUUAAAAAAAUAACUUUUGAAAGUCAAAUAAACGCUGGCAGCAAUAAAUUAUUUGGUGACAUCCUCGUCGAAAGUUUCGGCAGUCAAAUUUUAAACAAAUAAACAUUUACACUACAAAACUGUUUUAAAAAUAAAUUUAGCAUUAACUUUUUUGGUAGCUUUCUUUUGCUAAAAUGUACAUUUACAUCAUGUUUAGUUGAUUCUAGCACCUCCAAUUUUGAGUUAGGGUAUUUUUGGGGAAAUGUUUUUCAUUUUGAUAGGAAAAAACCUGCCGAGUUUUACCCGCAGUGCCCAUUGAUAUGCAUGUACGGAUUUAUUUAUUUAUGACUAAACGCGAUUUUUACGCUCAAAGCGGAGCGCAGUUAAAUGGGCCAAGCGGCUUUUACCACGUUUGAUGUGCGAGUAAAUCGAAUCCAACAUUGAUAAAAAUUUAUGCGAGUUUUAUCAAGUGUUUACGUGGCACGAAAAAUAGAGCGAUGCCAGCAUGCAAAAACCAAAGGCAAAGGCAAACGCAGAGCCAUGCGCCAUGUAGCACGUUACGUAUACGCACCGGCUGUCAAAUGAAUUUAAAUUUAAAUUUAAAUUUAGGGCUUGUCAGUUGGCUGUCGGGUUUGCUCAAGUGAUGCUUAUUUUUCUGAAACAAAAAAAAAACAACACCCUUUGGAAAGCGGCUUAUCGAAUGUGUAAAUUGCGUACGAGUAUUUAACAGGGCUCUGGGACUUUGGAAAAUAGCCAAGAAGCACGACUCGGUUACUUUGGCAACUGACAGACGACGCACAGUGGGCGUUGGCAGGUGAAAAGUGGGCGGAGUUGGGCUUUUCCGGCGACGCACGUGUGUGUGAGCCUUGAACUUUUGCUCAACUUUUGCAGAGCCCUUUCUCAAGGCGUCAAUUAAAUGCUUAUUAAGCCUUAAAGGCUGAAAGCUGCCGCUGUCACACCUUCAUUCAAUAUGACUGACAAAACUUUUCAGUGAUUAGCGUGCCAUAAGUAAUUUUGCAAACAAAUCACAAGUUUCGAAACAAUUUUAAUGAAUUUCCGCAGUGCAAAAACACUGCGCUGAUCGCUCUUUUGUCAGGCAAAUUAAGGCCAACAAACGUGGGCAACCUGAUUCGAUUUUGGCCACAUUUUCACAGUGCUGCCAGGACAAAAGUGGUUCGUCCUGUUUGUUGUUUCACAUGCUCGACUCCAUUAACAAUAUGUUUUUCUUCAACGCCGCACAGCCAGGCACAUGUCGCUCCAGUUUUGUGUCUGUGCUGAUGCUGAUUUUGCUGCUGCUGCUUCUGCUGUUGCUGCAACAGCUGCAGUUGCUACAGUUUGCUGCUGCUGCUGCUGCUGUUGCAACAGUUGCUGCGUCGGCCGUGUUUGCGGCUGCCUGCGACACCCUGCGAUCCGCCCAGAAAGCCUUCGAGCCAACAGAGACAUGUGCCUAGCCAAGCAGCAGCACCCGAAAAUGUGCAUUCGCUUGGAAAAUUAAAAAAAAAUUAAAUGUGUUUAUAUUUACAGCAUCUUCGUGCGGUGCGAGGACAUCCAGCGCUCUCAGGCUCACAAAAUAUGCAUAAAUAAUAUUCUGCAUAUUUUUUUCGUAUUUUUUGGGUUCAAAAAUGUAGCCUCCCAUAUAUAACUACACUUUAACAGCUUCAGAAAGAUUUUAUUUAUUUAUUUAUACUCUGGUUCCAGCUUCAGAAAGAUACAUAAUUUAAUAUAUAAAUAUUUUAGAAAUUGUUCGGCGAUUUUUUAUAUUUAAAUUAAUUUAGAUUUUACAUUAAUUCGAAUUUUGUAUGUAUAAACAGUACCGUAAUGUAUUAUGAUUUAACCAUUCCAUUAAACUAAAUUUUACAAAGCAAACUCCUUUUAAUCCCUAGUUUAUGCCCUGCAAUUUAUUGGCUUGGCUUCGGCCUUACUGGUAUCAGCCAUGUAUUUAACAGUUCGAGCCCAUUUAAUGGCUGCCAUUUUCUGGCUCAACAGCCAAUGACCAUUCGGCUAAUUUAAUGUGACUCGUAUGCUGAGAUUUUUGGACGUGGCCAAAGUGGCCGCUGGCCAUGUUUACUGUUGCUCUUGACUGCUACGAUUUAGCCGCCUGGCGCCGGCUAACAUGGGGCCCUGGGCUCGGAAACACACAGAAACACACAGCAGCAGCAGAGGACACAGAAACAGGACAUCGCCAGCUUAAGGAGAUAAGGCAGGGACCGCAGCCAGGCUCGAUUUAUGCAGCCAGUCGAGAUGCCGUUGCCAAGUUGCCAAGGCUUCGCACUUUAAGGCCGUUUUGGAGAUGCAGCGCAAAAGUUAUAUUGUUGCUGAAUGCAGACUGGGGAUGCUGGAGAGCCGUUUUCAUUUAAAUUUGGACGCAUAUUUUAUUGUAAAAUGCAUCUCGGACCGACACACUUGGCUGGGCCGAAAAAGGGGGGGUAGCGUUGCAUGACUGCAAUUACGCUCAAGUGCGUUUAGCCAUUUUAUUGCAAUUGCAAUUUUCAUUUUGGUUUAGAAUCUGCCAGUGGAAGGCAGUUCGGUUCGGCUUCACACAUGCAAACAUUUUUAGUCCUGUCAAAAGCGGCUUAACUAAGUGCGACCGAGUUUUGCUUAAUGCGCUUUCAAUAUCGAACCAAACUGAAAUGGGUGCAUGGGUGCAUGUGUGCCAGAGUGUUUCGGUUGCCAAGUUCUUGAUAAGACGGAACCAGUUCUCCGUUUCCUUCGUCCUUUUGGCAGGAAGUGCGCCAGGGUAGCCAUAAAUUUUUCGCCUUUUUCUGCAUAAAUAGUACUUUUGUGCAGCUUUAUGGCAUUCAGGAGUGCGGCAGGACGCAGGAUCAGGACGAAUCAGGAUGUGGCGUUGCAGUGGCAAAUGCGCUUCAGGAAAUUGCGUAACUCGAGAGCCAAGAGUUUUGUGCGAAAACUUGACAGGGAAUCGGGUUACAUCCUCAGGGUGGGAUUCGUUUCGGUUGCAUAAUAAUGGGAGAAGAAUGUCUGAAUUGAAAUUUAACACAGCCUGGUUAAACAAAUUAUUCCAUGUUAUUGUUUCUGUACAAGUACAGACAAUGUGGCAAAGUGGCAAAGUUGCGGAGAAAUCACUUCUUUGUUUCACUUCUUUGGCUGCAUUGUUCGUUGACUAAUCGCUUCUAAUUCCAAAACUUGGCAGCAGCUUACGAAAGCCAGAUGACAGGCAUCAUAAAGUUUUUAAAAAAUACAGGACACUGUGUAAUUUGGCCAAUAUCCACCCGAAACAAUAAUUGCAUUUUUCUGGGCCACAUGCUCUCUAUGUGUGUGUUUGCCUUUUUAAUUAGUGCUAUUUUUCGACAUUUCAUUAAACAAGAAACGGAACACAGAGAAAUUGUCAACUCCGUUUGCUGUUAGUGUAGGCAAUGUGCCAAGUGCAUUGCAAGUUUGGUCCCCAGUCACAGCAGACACUAAAAAGUUCACUUUUGAGAACUUUUAACGAAGAACAGAGUUCAGCUUCACUGAAAGCCCAAGAAGGACACUGCGAGGGAGUUGGCUCAAGCUGCAAAAGGAUCCUUAAGUUGCUGUUGCUCCAUACGGAUACACACACACACACACACACACACACGCACGCACCAAAGUUGCUUGUUGUGAAAAAUGUUUAGACAUUUUCCUCUGCUUUUGUGAUGAUCAACUUAAUUAAAUUCAUUAAAAGAGCGCUCACAUCACGUAUACGCCCUGUCGACCGUGCAAUUAGUUGCUGCUACGAAGAUGAUAGAUUGCGAAAGUUGUGCAAACCACUUACGAGCCGAUAUAUUAACUAUGGCAAUAUUAGCCAGGCAUUAAACAGAUAGCUGCUAAUUUAAAUAUCCUGUGGCUUCGACUGACAACCGCAGCAGCGAAGAACAGAAAAGCGGAAGCGGCUGCGUCAGCAGUCAACAAAAACAACCACCGAUGGCAAAGUCUAAUUAAAAUACAUAGUAGUUGGAAAGUUUUCUCCCUCCGGAGUUUUCAGCCUUCUAUCUAUCAUCGUUUUUCUUUUAUUUUUUUAUCUGGUUUGUGUGACUUUUGGGGUGUAAAAUCAAUAGACGACGGCGUUUAAUCAAAUUCUACUUGAAAGCAAACGAGCUGAAGAGGCUGCUAAAAGCUGUAGAGGAAAAACCUGGGCGCAAUCAAAGCCUCCAGCUCCUUGAGGCCACGCCCCAUCACCUAGAACAGAGUAGCAAUUUCGUUAAUAAAACGGCAGAGCGGCGAACUCGAAGCUGGCAAUAAAAUGGAAACUUUGCAAGCGAAAAGGAAAUCUCCUCCACCAGAUUUUCUUCACUCUCUUGUUGCUUGGUUAAGCUGAUUUCCCAAUGACGAUGCAAUAUAAAACCAAUAAAAGUAAACCCUCAAAGCACCCAGAUUAGGUCACAGUAUACCAGCUAAGUGAAUUUGUAAAGGAAACUACAAAGUGGCAUAAGCUAAUUGCAAACUGCCACGCUUGUAAUUCAUGGCAUUUAUCUACCAAGCACAUAUCUCGAUCUCACAAACAUUUACGAUUAUUUGAGGCCAAGCAUUUUGCUGGCGUUGCGAAAAUUCCCAGCAAUUUCCCUAUUGAAGUUGCAUAGUUUUAUGUUUGACAAAUUGCCAGACGAUUGGUUUAAUAGCCGGCUGAGCAGGCGACAAAGACGCCAAAGGACUCGUCCUCUCUGGGUUUGGGUUUGCCAAUGCAUUUGGCUUAGGGACGUGUCUGUAAUUGGGGGCACGGAGUGCAUAUCAACGGAGGACAUUGUCGGGACGUCGCCAUUUUGUCAGCAGCAACGUGGCGCGCAUAAAGUUUUGGACAAGUUAUGCGCCUCCAGAGAAUGUGCAACAAUGCCUCAGCAGUAUUCAUGCGAUGUGCAGGCAGAAAAAUGCGACACAACAGCAGUUGCCAUUUAGAAACAAAUGCUUUGGGCUUUUAGAACAAAUAUUUUACAAAUUGUGUACUUGGAGAAUUUAAUUGUCAUGUGUAAAGCAAAAGAGUAACUUUAUUUAAGUUGUAAAGCUGUAUUGUAGACAUAUUCCCAAGCAAAACACUCGUGACUUCUGCCAGUGCAGCCAAAGUCCACAACCAAAACCGAAUCCUGAGCCGUUGUAAUAAACUUUGUUUAUAACGCGUCGCCGGCUGGAUUGUGCAAACAUGCAAACGUCGAGGGAAAUGCAUAGCUGAGAUCGCCGAGCCAAUGCAGAGGCGGAAAAGCGGAAAGCCAGCUCGGCUGCCAAGGAAGCGGAAGUCGAAUGCACUGCACACUAUCGGAGCAGCUCACCAACACACCCACAUACCCACCACUACCACCUACCACUUUUGGGCACCACCCCAUCAUGAAUGCUCCCAUCGAAAUGCGCAUUUUGUUGCGCUGGCUGCGCUUGUUUAACGCAUUUUAACUUUGAUUAACGACUGACGGCGGGGAGUAAACGGGUACCAGGAUACCAGAAUACCAGAAGGCCAGGAUGCCAGGAUGCCAGGAUGCCAGGAUGCAGAUGAAAUGUUUGCAUUUGAUGCCCCUCUCUAUCCACAAUCAUCAUUGGAGCUAACAAAUUGCAUUGCGCAGCAUGUUUCAGUAUUUUGACAAGUUGAAAGCAUUUUCUACUUAAGCCAUCAAGUGACUUGCACGUAUAAAUGAGAAGAAUAAUUCUGCUCCUAACUAAUGCAAAUUUUGACCUAUAAAAUCAAUCUUAAUCGAUUGCUGAAGGCGUGAUGACACUUGGGAAUUGGCUUAUUUAUUACCACAAUUUAUCAUUUGUAUUCUUAGCAGGUUAAACGAUUUAUUGCCCUUCGUAAGCCAGGCGUGUCCUAUUUAUUCUUAAUGAAAAAAAUUUCUUCUCCCAUAUUUAUGUGAAUUUUGAAAUACUCAAACUCUAAGGAAAUUUCCCCCCUUAUACAAUACGCCCAUUUAACAAUGGCAGAAAUUCUCCUAGUUGAAAGCCAUUUUUUCAUCCAACUAGUUGACCAUCCCAACAAUUUUCAUUGCCAUUGAGAGGAGGAGUUUUGCAUUGGUUUGCUGCCCGACGGUUUUCCGAGCAAUUAAUUUCAUUAUUUUUCAUCUGGUUGCAUAAUUUCCAUGAACGGCAAAUCGAGUCGCUCGUCGAGCUAUCAGCGGGAUUUUCUCGCCGAAUGAAAGAAGGAAAAACUCCGCGCCGCCUUCUGUGCAAAUCGUUAGCGCUGAUUUAUUAUUUAUUGCUUUGGUUUUGCUCCCUGAUUUAUUCUCGGCUGAUAGAGGGAAAAGUUGGCUGGCAUGGGAUGACUUAAAUGCCUCGCCCUUUUGUUUCGGUAUUCCUGUGGAUUUCUUUGUUUCUUUUUAAAAUGUUGCACUAUCAAAACAUUCAAUCGGGUCGUGCAAUUAAAUGAUUUAUCACAUAAUUUAUUGUUCAGCUGCAAGAGUUGCACCCCGGGGGAAAAAUCGUCGCCCAUGUAUAAAAUAAUGGAAAAACGCCAGAUGAAAAUUUAAAAACUACCAUGUAACGAUGUACAGAACUUGUUUAUUUAAAGGAGACAAUAAUUACAACUAUAUAAACAUGUAUUUUGAAUAAUUAAUCAUUAGAUUGUAUGCUCUUGGCAUUCAUAACUAUUUGAAGCAAAUCAUUUUAAGCCCGUGGGCAUUUCACUUCUGUUGUCAUUUGUUCGCGCUGCCUCUCGGUAUAAAUCGCAUAGGAUUUGCAUAGAACAUGGUGCAAAAGCUGUUUAAAUAACUAAUAAUUAUCUUGUCGGCUUUGGCAGAGCUUCAAUGUCAUUUGAUGCCAUUCCGCUCGCGAUUUAUAUGCAUAAGCCGCUUAGUUGAAAUUAAUUAACACUAACAGCCGCAAAAACAAGAGAAACACGGACUAAGCAGAUUCUAGCAGGCUAUUUAAAUAUUUAUUGCACGCCUCCUCUGUUCGUGGUCGUUUAUUUUUAAUGACAUUGUAAGCCCAAUCAGUUAUUUAUUUAUUUAUACUUUUUUCCUCGCAUCGCAUUAUGUAUAACCCCAACCAUAAUCGCGGCGUGGUGGUAAAUGCAAUAAACACGAUGUUUGUAGCUUUUUCGCAUUAAAUCUAAUUUGAUAGGCUUUGUGCAAAUAUUUGCAUUUAAUCUGUUUGGAUUGUUAAUUAAAUAAGCUCUUAUUACAUGCAACACAAAAAAAAUAUCAAAUUGCAUAUCAAUGGCAGGCGAACAACUGUCAAAUGUCAUAAACAACCGAGCCCGCUUAAGUAAAAAGCGGUUUUAAAGCAUUAAACCUGAGUUUGAUUAUUAAUUAAUUUGUUUAUCCAAUAAUACGUUAUAAGUCACUUAACCAGCAUAAAAGUUCAUACUGAAUUAAUGGCGAGCUGUUUAUUGCCAGCUAUUAAAACCUUUAUUAUAUAAUUGUAACAUCUCUAUUUAUGAAAACAACUCUACGUUAGUUUCAAUGCUAUAAUGCGUUGGUUAUUUCAAGAGUUGUCAAAAGUUUUCUGAGUUAUUAAUAUGAGAAAAAUAGCUAAGACCACUCAGCAGCUGAGUAACUUUUAUUUUUCAUUCACCACAUCUCCUUUGUUUUACCCACCGCCACUCAACUUCUAAAGUCCUCUCGAAGAGCACUUUCCUCUCGCUUGAACUAAACAAUGUUCAUAUAUUUCCGUGAGCAGCACAAAGCAUACUUAGCAGCUCCAUUCGAUGGCAAACUCAAGACCCGCCGCUUCCGUUUCCGUACCGCCCGCAGACCAGAAAAAUCAGGAGAAGAUGGAGAUGCCCGUGGCGCUGCGAUGCUUCGCUUAAUCAGCGCUGGCUGCGGCACAUAACUCAGAUACAUAUGUAUAUAUGUGGAAUGCGAACCACCGGCGAAGGAGCCACCCAUGGUCAUAGUCUUCGUGCCAAAAAGGAUGGCGGUAUCCUGGCUGGAGACAAGGAAGCAGUGCGCCCGCUGUUGCUUUUAUGCUGCUCUGCACUUUAAUUUUAAAACAAAUGCUGGUGAGCUGCACACGGAAUUUGGCACAGUCAGUCCAGCGGGUUGGAAAGGGAGAUACAGAACCAAAGAGAUAGAGAGAGAGAGGGUACACCAAAAAAAUAUCCUUUACAUUUAGAAAAUAUCCUUUGCAUUUCUUGCCCAUUUAAUAAGAACUUGUAUAGUUGAAAUUCAAGUUAUCUGGAAAUGAAAUAUUGUAAUCUCUAAUUUUAAAUUUCGUUACAAUUUUAAAUUUCCAAUUUAAGUCACAUCGUUCAAUAAAUUCCGAUUAACAUGA